GUUUGAUCCUGNCUCAGAUUGAACGCUGGCGGAAUGCUUUACACAUGCAAGUCGAACGGCAGCACGGGGGCAACCCUGGUGGCGAGUGGCGAACGGGUGAGUAACACAUCGGAACGUGCCCAAUCGUGGGGGAUAACGUAGCGAAAGCUACGCUAAUACCGCAUACGAUCUACGGAUGAAAGCGGGGGAUCGCAAGACCUCGCGCGAAUGGAGCGGCCGAUGGCAGAUUAGGUAGUUGGUGGGGUAAAGGCUCACCAAGCCAACGAUCUGUAGCUGGUCUGAGAGGACGACCAGCCACACUGGGACUGAGACACGGCCCAGACUCCUACGGGAGGCAGCAGUGGGGAAUUUUGGACAAUGGGCGCAAGCCUGAUCCAGCCAUUCCGCGUGCAGGAUGAAGGCCUUCGGGUUGUAAACUGCUUUUGGACGGAACGAAAAGCCAUUUUCUAAUACAAGAUGGUCAUGACGGUACCGUCAGAAUAAGCACCGGCUAACUACGUGCCAGCAGCCGCGGUAAUACGUAGGGUGCAAGCGUUAAUCGGAAUUACUGGG
rnacentral:rRNA from 1 species